CUAAGUUUGAUGGCGACCGGCGCACGGGUGAGUAACACGUAUCCAACCUGCCGAUGACUCGGGGAUAGCCUUUCGAAAGAAAGAUUAAUACCCGAUGGCAUAGUUCUUCCGCAUGGUAGAACUAUUAAAGGAUUUCGGUCAUCGAUGGGGAUGCGUUCCACUAGGUUGUUGGCGGGGUAACGGCCCACCAAGCCUUCGAUGGAUAGGGGUUCUGAGAGGAAGGUCCCCCACAUUGGAACUGAGACACGGUCCAAACUCCUACGGGAGGCAGCAUG
rnacentral:rRNA from 1 species